rnacentral:rRNA from 1 species
GUCUACAGCCACAUCACCCUGAACACUCCGAUCUCAUCUGAUCUCAGAAGCUAAGCAGGGUCAGACCUAGUUAGUACUUGGAUGGGAGAUUGAAGACUAGGAGGGCAGGUGCGGUGACU